rnacentral:rRNA from 1 species
UACGGAGGGAGCUAGCGUUGUUCGGAAUUACUGGGCGUAAAGCGCACGUAGGCGGCUUUGUAAGUUAGAGGUGAAAGCCCGGGGCUCAACCCCGGAAAUUGCCUUUAAGACUGCAUCGCUUGAAUCCGGGAAGAGGUGAGUGGAAUUCCGAGUGUAGAGGUGAAAUUCGUAGAUAUUCGGAAGAACACCAGUGGCGAAGGCGCUUACUGGCCAUUACUGACGCUGAGGCUCGAAAGCGUGGGGAGCAAACAGG